rnacentral:lncRNA from 1 species
ACAGUAAAGUGAGCAAAAGUGAAAGAAAGUCAGAGAGAAAAGAUGUGCAGAAACGUUACUUCAUCCUUAAUACAAGAACUGUGAUCAAACGCUGUGAUCAGAAAACUUAAGCUUCAAAUUGAGAGUACAUUUAAUACUACAAUUAAUUUUAGCAAAGCAAUUAUUACAAGUCUGAAAUUUCUAAUAGUGCUUUUAACACUUAUCAGUUUUGCAUCAAAAGCUCAAUAAAAGCCAAACAUGAACUACCUCCAUACCCGCCCCCACCAGGUGGCGUGGGAGAAUACACAAACACAGACACAGACACAGAAAACCACCCAGUUUCUUCAACUUUAGAAUAGUAAUUAACUAACCCUACACUGAU